CCCUUAGAUGUUCGGGGCCGCACGCGCGCUACACUGAAUGAAUCAGCGAGUGUAUGUCCUAGGCCGAAAGGUCCGGGUAACCCGUUGAACCUCAUUCGUGAUUGGGAUAGGGACUUGCAAUUGUUUCCCUUGAACGAGGAAUUCCCAGUAAGCGCAAGUCAUCAGCUUGCGUUGAUUACGUCCCUGCCCUUUGUACACACCGCCCGUCGCUCCUACCGAUUGAAUGUUCCGGUGAGCUCUUCGGACUGCGCGGUCUGCAGUUUCUGCGUUCCGUGCGGAAAGUUGCGCAAACCUUAACAUUUAGAGGAAGGAGAAGUCGUAACA
rnacentral:rRNA from 1 species